rnacentral:hammerhead_ribozyme from 1 species
AUCCAGCUGAUGAGUCCCAAGUAGGACGAAACGCAUAUACUGGAU